rnacentral:rRNA from 1 species
CCGAAGAGUUUGGUUCCUGGCUCAGGACGAACGCUGGCGGCGUGCCUAUACAUGCAAGUCGAGCGGACAGAUGGGAGCUUGCUCCUGAUGUUAGCGGCGGACGGGUGAGUAACACGUGGGUAACCUGCCUGUAAGACUGGGAUAACUCCGGGAAACCGGGGCUAAUACCGGAUGGUUGUUUGAACCGCAUGGUUCAAACAUAAAAGGUGGCUUCGGCUACCACUUACAGAUGGACUCGCGGCGCAUUAGCUAGUUGGUGAGGUAACGGCUCACCAAGGCAACGAUGCGUAGCCGACCUGAGAGGGUGAUCGGCCACACUGGGACUGAGACACGGCCCAGACUCCUACGGGAGGCAGCAGUAGGGAAUCUUCCGCAAUGGACGAAAGUCUGACGGAGCAACGCCGCGUGAGUGAUGAAGGUUUUCGGAUCGUAAAGCUCUGUUGUUAGGGAAGAACAAGUACCGUUCGAAUAGGGCGGUACCUUGACGGUACCUAACCAGAAAGCCACGGCUAACUACGUGCCAGCAGCCGCGGUAAUACGUAGGUGGCAAGCGUUGUCCGGAAUUAUUGGGCGUAAAGGGCUCGCAGGCGGUUUCUUAAGUCUGAUGUGAAAGCCCCCGGCUCAACCGGGGAGGGUCAUUGGAAACUGGGGAACUUGAGUGCAGAAGAGGAGAGUGGAAUUCCACGUGUAGCGGUGAAAUGCGUAGAGAUGUGGAGGAACACCAGUGGCGAAGGCGACUCUCUGGUCUGUAACUGACGCUGAGGAGCGAAAGCGUGGGGAGCGAACAGGAUUAGAUACCCUGGUAGUCCACGCCGUAAACGAUGAGUGCUAAGUGUUAGGGGGUUUCCGCCCCUUAGUGCUGCAGCUAACGCAUUAAGCACUC